CGACCCGUAGCUCAACGGUAGAGCAGUCGUCUUAUACACGACCGGUUCCAGGUUCAAAUCCUGGCGGGUCGA
rnacentral:tRNA from 1 species